rnacentral:rRNA from 1 species
CACACGGCUCUCGGCAACGGAUAUCUCGGCUCUCGCAUCGAUGAAGAACGUAGCGAAAUGCGAUACCUGGUGUGAAUUGCAGAAUCCCGCGAACCAUCGAGUCUUUGAACGCAAGAUGCGCCCGAGGCCACUCGGCCGAGGGCACGCCUGCCUGGGCGUCACGC